rnacentral:sRNA from 1 species
GGUUGAGGAACAAAGACUAAGAACGCCACGUUGUGUGGCAACGUCUUUGUGACCAAAACGUCCUGUCUU